UACGUAGGGGGCAAGCGUUGUCCGGAAUCAUUGGGCGUAAAGCGCGUGUAGGCGGCUCGAUAAGUCUGCUGUGAAAGUCCAAGGCUCAACCUUGGGAUGCCGGUGGAUACUGUCGAGCUCGAGUCCGGAAGAGGAGUGUGGAAUUCCUGGUGUAGCGGUGAAAUGCGCAGAUAUCAGGAGGAACACCAAUGGCGAAGGCAGCACUCUGGGACGUGACCGACGCUGAGACGCGAAAGCGUGGGGAGCAAACAGG
rnacentral:rRNA from 1 species